rnacentral:rRNA from 1 species
GAGUUUGGCACGAGUUGAUCGUGGCUCAGGACGAACGCUGGCGGCGUGCCUAACACAUGCAAGUUGAGCGGAGAUAUGGAGAGCUUGCUCUUUAUAUUUUAGCAGCGAACGGGUGAGUAACACGUAGAUAAUUUGUCCUAUAUUGGGGGAUAGGCCGAUGAAAAUUGGAUUAAUACCGCAUACAGCUAUUUAACCGCAUGGGGAGAUAGUGAAAGGGGAAACUUGAUAUAGGAGGAGUCUGCGGCACAUUAGCUAGUAGGUGAGGUA